rnacentral:rRNA from 1 species
AUACGGAGGGUGCAAGCGUUAUUCGGAAUCACUGGGCGUAAAGGACGCGUAGGCGGGUUGGCAAGUCAGAUGUGAAAUCCUACAGCUUAACUGUAGAACUGCAUUUGAAACUGCUAACCUAGAGUAUGAGAGGGGGAGAUGGACUUAGUGGUGUAGGGGUAAAAUCCGUAGAUAUCACUAGGAAUACCGAAAGCGAAGGCGAUCUCCUGGAACAUAACUGACGCUAAGGCGUGAAAGCGUGGGGAGCAAACAGGAUUAGAUACCCUAGUAGUCC